UUCGUCCAAUUGAAACAGAGAACAGUGGCGGACGGGUGAGUAACGCGUGAGGAACCUGCCUUUCAGAGGGGGACAACAGUUGGAAACGACUGCUAAUACCGCAUGACACAUAGGUGUCGCAUGGCACUUAUGUCAAAGAUUUAUCGCUGAAAGAUGGCCUCGCGUCUGAUUAGAUAGUUGGCGGGGUAACGGCCCACCAAGUCGACGAUCAGUAGCCGGACUGAGAGGUUGACCGGCCACAUUGGGACUGAGAUACGGCCCAGACUCC
rnacentral:rRNA from 1 species